GCCCGGGUGGCUCAGUUGGUUAAGUGUCUGACUUGGGCUCAGGUCAUGAUCUCACGGUUCGUGGGUUUGAGCCCCGCAUCAGGCU
rnacentral:tRNA from 1 species